CACGUAACUCUGUGAAACAUAGACUUGGAGUGGAAACCUAGUCUAACGCAAUGGUACUUGGAUAAUGAAGAACCUGGUUUACAUUGCCCAGAAGAAAGUGAGGUUUUAAAUCACAUUCAGCCCCAAAGCACUCACACUGCUUCUGGAAGCUCAUUAGUUUUUCUUGAAAUUAAAACAAAAAAGAAAAAAGAAGAGGAAACAAAAACUAACAACCAACCAUGUGCUGAUUGAGACAACCACUGAGUGAGAGGAGUGACUCUGAAACGUCUGCUUCAAAAGGACCCAACAUUUGCUGGCACACUGGCAGGCACCUGUAAUCCCAGCAACUCCAGAGGCUGAAACGAGAGGAUCCCUUGAGCCUGGAAGUUUGAGGCUGCAAUGAGCUAUGAUGGUGUCACUGCAUUCCAGUCUGGGUGACAGGGUAAGACCCCAUCU
rnacentral:lncRNA from 1 species